UGUUUCACAUAAGUCAAGGUCCCGGACCACAUUCCCCCACACAGCUAGAGGAGUGGUUUCUCAUCCUUUAGACCCUUGGGGAUUUGUAAAUCUUCCGUGGACCAGGCUGCAUCCCACAUCAGCAGAGAAGUGCUGGGACCGGACCCAGCCAUCAGUAGUUGUAAACUCUCCAGGUGCUUCCAAUGAACAUCCAGGCUGAGAACAAUUAAAACAGAUCAUCUGAUGUUAAUCACAAUUAAAAUGUGGUGAUACCAGAUGAUGACUUCGGAUCCCUCCAUUUCCUCUGAGGUACUGGGAACAGCAGUGGACUCUAAGUGUGAGAGGACGUAUACCCAGGUUUGGGGCCAGCUUUUGGAAGGAAGAACAAUUUUGGAUAACAGGCUCAGCCAUCAGAAAAUAAUGUAGACCUUGUAUGGCUCUAUCCAGUUUCUGCUGCUUCAGUGCAAAUUCAAAUGAUUGGAAGCAAGAAAGAUAAAUCCUGAAAAGGUGGUCUCUGGGACAAACAUUAUGAUAUGGAAGAAAGAGCCCCGUGCAUACACACAUACACCACCAUGCAAGCAAUGGAGAAGCCCAGGAGACAGAAAAUAGUAAAACAUGAGACACCAAGGGGCCAUGGAACAUGGGGAGGAGACACUGGUUUACCUUGUGAUUCAGAAGGCAGUGGACCAAGUAGACAUGGACGCCCUGGAGGAUGCUGAUGAUGGUGAAGGUCAUCACCAACCUGACAGGGUCCAGCACUCCUUCCACCAGAAAGAAGCCAAGGCCCCAAGAAGAGCCCAGAAUGAAAACCUGAGCAACGGCUUUGAACGUCAGCAUCCUGCCAACACCAAGAAGCAGAACAAUGUCAGCUCUAUGGCUCACGGCAACGCUUUCUAUCACAUAUUUACUCUUGCUUCAAGGCUUGGGACUAAGAAUGUCAGACCGUUAAACAUGGUAACCUCUGGCAGGAGUGUUAAAGGGAUCACUGAUAUGUAAUGUUAGCAUCAUAUAAUGUGACUGUGAUAUAAUUUAUGCCAUCUAAUUAUUUAUAGAAAGUAAUACAUAUACACAAAAAGUAA